rnacentral:rRNA from 1 species
CCUACGGGAGGCAGCAGUGGGGAAUUUUGGACAAUGGGGGCAACCCUGAUCCAGCCAUCCCGCGUGUGCGAAGAAGGCCUUCGGGUUGUAAAGCACUUUUGGCGGGAAAGAAAUGGCCCUGGUUAAUACCCGGGGUCGAUGACGGUACCCGCAGAAUAAGCACCGGCUAACUACGUGCCAGCAGCCGCGGUAAUACGUAGGGUGCAAGCGUUAAUCGGAAUUACUGGGCGUAAAGCGUGCGCAGGCGGUUCGGAAAGAAAGAUGUGAAAUCCCAGGGCUUAACCUUGGAACUGCACUUUUAACUACCGGGCUGGAGUGCGGCAGAGGGGGAUGGAAUUCCGCGUGUAGCAGUGAAAUGCGUAGAUAUGCGGAGGAACACCGAUGGCGAAGGCAAUCCCCUGGGCCUGCACUGACGCUCAUGCACGAAAGCGUGGGGAGCAAACAGGAUUAGAUACCCUGGUAGUCCACGCCCUAAACGAUGCGAACUGGAUGUUGGGUUCAACUUGGAACCCAGUAUCGAAGCUAGCGCGUUAAGUUCGCCGCCCGGGGAGUACGGUCGCAAGACUGAAACUCAAAGGAAUUGACGG